UUUUUGUUUUUAUUUAUUUAUCUUAUUUUUAUUUUUUUGUUUUGUUUUUCAAGACAGGGUUUUUCUGUUUAGCCCUGGUUAUCCUGGAACUUGAUCUGUAGACCUGGCUAGCCCUGAACUCAGAGAUCUGCCUGCCUCUGUCUCCCAAGCUGAAAUUAAAGGCGUGUGCCACCACCACCACCACCUAGCCACUUUAAAAAAAAAAAAAAAGAAGACAGUCUCACUGUAUACCCUUGGCUAGUCUGGAAUUCACUAUUUAGACUAGGUUUAGACUUGAACUUAGAGAUCUGCCUGCCUCUCCCCUGAGUGCAGGUAUUAAAGGCUUGUGCCACCAUGCCCAACCUAGAUGGGACCUUUAAAAAAGAAGAGAAAAGAAAAGAAAAGAAAAG
rnacentral:lncRNA from 1 species